GGGCGGGGCUACAUCGGGAUCUUCUGCAGCUCUGCUGCUCUUCUCCUGGGGCCUGGCUGGCAGUGGAAGAGGAGGGAGGAGCUGCUGGAGGCUGCAAUUCAUCAAGGCAUCUUCCGGACGAUCGGAUCUCCUACAUGAAUAGUGAAUACCGACUUAAGACGCCAUCUGCCUCAGAGGAUACAGUUCUUCAGAGGUUCCAUAUUGUGAGAAACCAUCAUACAGAUCCUUGGCCUCUUGUGAAACAGACCAUACUCCCCAGAUAUGCACCUGCAUCAGUUUUAUUAAUCAGUGGAGCUUCAUUUCCUAAGACAGGGAAGGCAGUGGCCUUUCAUUUGGUUGGUUUGUAACCAAGGAAAUUCAAUUCGGAGAUAUCUCCAGGAACAUAAAUCCUGAUGUCCUGAUCCUGACACUGUUUCCUUACUCAAUAACAGGACAAUUUAUUUCUGCAAGAGAGAUGUACUAUUUAUUCUGAAAGUCCCAUCCUGUCUGUCAGGUGUUGUGCCUCAGAGGCCUUUUCAUUAUGUCUGAGCCAUGCUGUGUUUUAUACUGUUCUCAUUUUAAUUUCCUUUUGUGUUUCCUAUUGUACGUUUUAUCACAAAGUCCAGAUAUUUCCGCAUGGUAUAACCUGCGCAGGCUGGGGCUUGUUUUUACAUAAAGGCAAAUUUAAAUUGUUUGGGUGUCUGGAUGUAGGAGCUAGA